rnacentral:rRNA from 1 species
UACAGAGGGGGCAAGCGUUGUUCGGAAUUACUGGGCGUAAAGGGCGCGUAGGCGGCCUUCUAAGUCAGACGUGAAAUCCCUCGGCUCAACCGGGGAACUGCGUCUGAGACUGGAAGGCUUGAAUCCGGGAGAGGGAUGUGGAAUUCCAGGUGUAGCGGUGAAAUGCGUAGAUAUCGGGAGGAAUACCAGUGGCGAAGGCGGCGACCUGGGCCAAUACUGACGCUGAGGUGCGAAAGCGUGGGGAGCAAACAGG